AACGAACGCUGGCGGCAUGCCUAACACAUGCAAGUCGAACGAGACCUUCGGGUCUAGUGGCGCACGGGUGCGUAACACGUGGGAAUUUGCCUCGGGGUAUGGAAUAACUCAGGGAAACUUGAGCUAAUACCAUAUAAUGUCUUCGGACCAAAGAUUUAUCGCCCUGAGAUAAGCCCGCGUAGGAUUAGCUAGUUGGUGGGGUAAAGGCUCACCAAGGCGACGAUCCUUAGCUGGUCUGAGAGGAUGAUCAGCCACACUGGGACUGAGACACGGCCCAGACUCCUACGGGAGGCAGCAGUGGGAAUAUUGGACAAUGGGCGAAAGCCUGAUCCAGCAAUGCCGCGUGAGUGAUGAAGGCCU
rnacentral:rRNA from 1 species